rnacentral:rRNA from 1 species
UAGGGAAUCUUCCACAAUGGACGCAAGUCUGAUGGAGCAACGCCGCGUGAGUGAAGAAGGUUUUCGGAUCGUAAAGCUCUGUUGUUGGUGAAGAAGGAUAGAGGCAGUAACUGGUCUUUAUUUGACGGUAAUCAACCAGAAAGUCACGGCUAACUACGUGCCAG